rnacentral:rRNA from 1 species
GACGAACGCUGGCGGCGUGCUUAACACAUGCCAGUCGAACGGAAAGGCCCUGCUUUUGUGGGGUGCUCGAGUGGCGAACGGGUGAGUAACACGUGAGUAACCUGCCCUUGACUUUGGGAUAACUUCAGGAAACUGGGGCUAAUACCGGAUAGGAGCUCCUGCUGCAUGGUGGGGGUUGGAAAGUUUCGGCGGUUGGGGAUGGACUCGCGGCUUAUCAGCUUGUUGGUGGGGUAGUGGCUUACCAAGGCUUUGCCGGGUAGCCGGCCUGAGAGGGUGAACGGCCACGUUGGGACUGAGAUGCGGCCCGGACUCCUACGGUAGGCAGCAGUGGGGAAUAUAGCACAGUGGGCGGAAGCCUGAUGCGGCAACGCCGCGUGCGGGAUGAGGGCCUUCGGGUUGUAAACCGCUUUCGCCUGUGACGAAGCGUGAGUGACGGUAAUGGGUAAAGAAGCACCGGCUAACUACGUG